UGAAAUUGUAAUACGACUCACUAUAGAGCGAAUUGGGCCCGACGUCGCAUGCUCCCGGCCCGCCAUGGCGGCCCGCGGGAAUUCGAUUGGAUUAGGCAUGCAAGUCGAACGAGAAAGGUUCCUUCGGGGACCGAGUACAGUGGCGAAAGGGUGAGUAAUGCAUAGGCAACUUGCCCCCGAGAUGGGGAUAACCUUCCGAAAGGGGGGCUAAUACCCAAUAGUAUCGUGGAUCGCAUGUUCCGCGAUUAAAGAUAGCUCUGCCUUCGCUCGGGGAGAGGCUUAUGUCCUAUUAGCUUGUUGGUGGGGUAACGGCCCACCAAGGCGACGAUGGGUAGCCGACCUGAGAGGGUGACCGGCCACACUGGGACUGAGACACUGCCCAGACUCCUACGGGAGGCUGCAGUCGAGAAUCUUCCGCAAUGCGCGCAAGCGUGACGGAGCGACGCCGCGUGAGUGAUGAAGGCCUUCGGGUUGUAAAACUCUGUCACCUGGGAAGAAAGCUGUGCGGUUAAUAGCUGUCGCAGUUGACGUUACCAGGGGAGGAAGCACCGGCUAAAUACGUGCCAGCAGCCGCGGUAAUACGUAUGGUGCAAACGUUGUUCGGAAUCACUGGGCUUAAAGAGCACGUAGGCGGUCAAGGAAGUCUGAUGUGAAAUCCCUCGGCUUAACCGAGGAACUGCACUGGAAACUCCUUGGCUAGAGUGCAGAAGGGGAGAGUGGAAUUCCUGGUGGAGCGGUGAAAUGCGUAGAUAUCAGGAGGAACGCCGGAGGCGAAAGCGACUCUCUGGUCUGUUACUGACGCUGAGGUGCGAAAGCUAGGGGAGCGAACGGGAUUAGAUACCCCGGUAGUCCUAGCCCUAAACGAUGGGCACUAAGUAGAGGGGUUUUAAUCACUAGUGAAUUCGCGGCCGCCUGCAGGUCGACCAUAUGGGAGAGCUCCCAACGCGUUGGAUGCAUAGCUUGAGUAUUCU
rnacentral:rRNA from 1 species